UACGUAGGGGCCUAGCGUUGUCCGGAAUUAUUGGGCGUAAAGAGCUCGUAGGCGGUUUGUCGCGUCUGCUGUGAAAUCUGGGGGCUCAACCCCCAGCCUGCAGUGGGUACGGGCAGACUAGAGUGCGGUAGGGGAGAUUGGAAUUCCUGGUGUAGCGGUGGAAUGCGCAGAUAUCAGGAGGAACACCGAUGGCGAAGGCAGAUCUCUGGGCCGUAACUGACGCUGAGGAGCGAAAGCAUGGGGAGCGAACAGG
rnacentral:rRNA from 1 species